CAUGCGGUCACAUGUGUUGGCGCGAGGAGGCGGCGUUAGCGACGAUCUACAGGUUAGCUUAAGCUAAAUCACGACGUUUUUUACUUUAACAACAAACGUCUUUUAAUGCUUUUAUACACCGAAUUGUUGGAGCCUUCUACCAUGCCUUUAACGGUGUGAAGAACGUGUUGUGUGUCGAUCAACCGAGGACGAGUGAGUUUGUUAUUGUUAGCGUGCUAGCGUUAGCUUAGCCGAGCUCAUUCAUCUCAAUGUAAGCGGUUAGCUAAACUGUUUGGUCACAAAUCUGCUGUUUCUACAAAUGAAAGAAGAAUAUCUGUAAUUACAUUCAGAUGGAAAUAUGUUUCUGUUAUCAUCUGUAUUAUUGGAUGUUUAUAUUGUCAACUGUGAACCUACUGAAUAAAGUCAGGUUGUGUAAAAACUCACAACUUUAAUGUAUUUGAUUAUUAUAUAUCUGUGUAAAUAUCAAUUAAACAUGCUAAAUGACAUUAUUCAUGCUGUUCAGUGAUAAUGUAAGUAGUAUUUACUUCUUUAAUAAUAAAUAUUGAAUUUAUGUAAAUGAACUAUAGCUCAACUAGACUAGUGCUUUAAAUGUAUUAUGUGUACAUGUACAUGUAUAUGUUUGAAUAGUGAUUAAUUUUAACUGUGUUUCUGAUCCUCAGGUCAGGUCCACAAUAGAUGGCGAGCUAAGGAGCAGGCCUACAGCCUUCAUCGACCCCCAGUCUCAUAUGCACCUCUCCUCCCAGGCCGGUAGGGAGCUCACUGGAGCCCACUGAAACUCGUACACCCAUUCAUUCAAUCAUCACCCCUCAAUUCACUCCCAUUUCCCCUGAAAACUUUAAUGGCCACAUCUUCACAGUACAUAUCUGCACUUUUUCUGUAAAUAAUAUACCACAUCAUUCAAAAACAGUUUCCGCCUCCUGUCCAGUCUCUUAUCCAACUCUCUCCUUGAGGGAACCAUAGUCUUCUGAUUACUAGUCCAUCACCAAAUGUUAUUGUGUUAAUCAUCAAAUAGAUAUUAUAGAUAUGAUACCAAUAUAUAUAUAUAUAUAUCACCGGCCACUUUAUUAGAUACACCAUGCUAGUAACGGGUUGGACCCCCUUUUGCCUUCAGAACUGCCUCAAUUAUUCGUGGCAUAGAUUCAACAAGAUGCUGGAAGCAUUCCUCAGAGAGCUUGGUUCAUAUUGACAUGAUGGCAUCACACAGUUGCCGCAGAUUUGUCGGCUGCACAUCCAUGAUGUGAAUCUCCCGUUCCACCACAUCCCAAAGAUGCUCUAUUGGCUUGAGAUCUGGUGACUGUGGAGGCCAUUUGAGUACAGUGAACUCAUUGUCAUGUUCAAGAAACCAGUCUGAGAUGAUUCCAGCUUUAUGAAAUGGCGCAUUAUCCUGCUGAAAGUAGCCAUCAGAAGUUGGGUACAUUGUGGUCAUAAAGGGAUGGACAUGGUCAGCAACAGUACUCAGGUAGGCUUUGGCGUUGCAACGAUGCUCGAUUGGUACCAAGGGGCCCAAAGAGUGCCAAGAAAAUAUUCCCCACACCAUGACACCACCACCACCAGCCUGAACCGUUGAUACAAGGCAGGAUGGAUCCAUGCUUUCAUGUUGUUGACGCCAAAUUCUGACCCUACCAUCCGAAUGUCGCAGCAGAAAUCGAGACUCAUCAGACCAGGCAACAUUUUUCCAAUCUUCUAUUGUCCAAUUUCGAUGAGCUUGUGCAAAUUGUAGCCUCAGUUUCCUGUUCUUAGCUGAAAGGAGUGGCACCCGGCGUGGUCUUCUGCUGCUGUAGCCCAUCUGCCUCAAAGUUCGACGUACUGUGCGUUCAGAGAUGCUCUUCUGCCUACCUUGGUUGUAACGGGUGGUUAUUUGAGUCACUGUUGCCUUUCUAUCAGCUCGAACCAGUCUGGCCAUUCUCCUCUGACCUCUGGCAUCAACAAGGCAUUUCCGCCCACAGAACUGCCGCUCACUGGAUAUUUUUUCUUUUUCGGACCAUUCUCUGUAAACCCUAGAGAUGGUUGUGCGUGAAAAUCCCAGUAGAUCAGCAGUUUCUGAAAUACUCAGACCAGCCCUUCUGGCACCAACAACCAUGCCACGUUCAAAGUCACUCAAAUCACCUUUCUUCCCCAUACUGAUGCUCGGUUUGAACUGCAGGAGAUUGUCUUGACCAUGUCUACAUGCCUAAAUGCGCUAAGUUGCCACCAUGUGAUUGGCUGAUUAGAAAUUAAGUGUUAACGAGCAGUUGGACAGGUGUACUUAAUAAAGUGGCCAGUGAGUGUAUAUAUAGAUAUAAACCAAUACUCAUUAGUCUGUGUACCCACUUACAUCUGACACAGUUUCUACACAUCUACAACAUGUUGUCUGUAAUCAUGGGGCUUACAAAUUUUAAAGGUUGCACAAUUUUGGGUGUCUUUUCUCCCGGCAGCAGAACAAGACGACACAUAAACAACUAUGCAGAUGAACACAUGUGCAGUCUAUCCUCCAAACAGCCAUCAAACCUACAUAGAGCAGCCAGUACUCAAGUCCGAGUCUGCACUGCAUGAAUCCUAAAGACUUGAGUUCUACUCGGGUCCGACUAAAGCCUCUAUUCAUAUAUUUGGGCUCAGUCAUUUUCCUCCUCUGCUACUUCCGUAAAUGUCAGUCGCUGAACUUUUUUGUGAUAUUCCUCCAAAGACACUCUGCAGCAUCCUUCUGGAAACUAUCCUGACGUUUAUUUUCCUUUUUUUAAGAGUUAGAGUCUGAUUGCAAAUCAAGAUAAGUGCACACCCACUCGGGUCGCUCAGAAAGACAUUUUUAAUCCAGCUGACUUUGCAUUGAGACAUCGGUGGAUGACAGUUUUCGCUGUACCAUGUAACUUUUCCCUUCCACUGUCUCUCCGUGAAGCCACUUAAGAUUCCUCUUUAACUUUGAGGCAUGAUCUGUUUGUCGAUUGGCCCCGGCAGCUCUGAAAAUGUAUUUCAGAUGUAAAUCCUGAUAAGUUUGUUCAGCAGAAUAUGAAAAUCUACCUGUUCCCGGCAGUUUAGUUUUUAUUGAAGCCACAGGGGAAAUAGGUUUGUUAACAGCAGCAGUGAGGGGGAGUAGAGAUUACAGAGCAAACAGUGAGGAGAAAAAAAAGUGUGAUGAAGACGAGGAAUACAAAUAAAAUCAUGAUAAAGUGUGUGUCGUUAUAUGAAAGUGAUAAAAUAUUAAUGAAACAUUGUGAAACUGUGGGAGAAGAGAAUGAAUUAUUGAUUCUGACUCUGCUAGUUAAAGUCUGACGGUGUGAAACUGUGUGGACUGAAACGGAUACAGUAAAUAGAUUCCCCCAAUUUUCAGAGGUGGACAAAUAACACAGAGC
rnacentral:lncRNA from 1 species